GAGGAAAAAGAAAAGACCAAAAUCAGCAGUGUAAAGGCAGGAAACACAAAACCAGUAAGCAUGAAUAUUUCUGUAAACAAAAAUCAGCAACA